rnacentral:rRNA from 1 species
UACGUAGGGUCCAAGCGUUAUCCGGAAUCACUGGGCGUAAAGCGUUUUGUAGGCGGAAAUUUAAGUGAGAUGCGAAAUCUUGUGGCUCAACCAUAUAGACGGUAUCUCAUACUGGGUUUCUAGAAGAUAGCAGAGGUAAGUGGAAUUAGUAGUGUAGCGGUAAAAUGCGUAGAUAUUACUAGGAACACCAAUGGCGAAGGCAGCUUACUGGGCUAUAUUUGACGCUGAGAAACGAAAGCGUGGGGAGCGAACAGG